UACGUAGGGUGCGAGCGUUAAUCGGAAUUACUGGGCGUAAAGCGUGCGCAGGCGGUUUUGUAAGCCAGAUGUGAAAUCCCCGGGCUCAACCUGGGAAUGGCAUUUGGGACUGCAAGGCUGGAGUGCGGCAGAGGAGACUGGAAUUCCUGGUGUAGCAGUGAAAUGCGUAGAUAUCAGGAGGAAUACCGAUGGCGAAGGCAGGUCUCUGGGCUGACACUGACGCUCAUGCACGAAGCGUGGGGAGCAAACAGG
rnacentral:rRNA from 1 species